UUUUUAUUACUUUAUUAUUUCAUUAUCAUUUGUACUUAUCUCUACUAUUGAAUAUAAAUAUAUAUUAUUUAUCUGUAUUUUAAAAAUAAAAUAGUUUAGAUUGAAAAAAUUAUAAAUUUUUUUUCCAAAAACAUAAGUCAAAAUAAAAAAAAAAAAAAAACUAAAAUAAUUUGGUGGUAUAGGUAAGUUAGGAAAUUUUUUAUUUUGGUUCCUCUAAAUUAUCUUUUACUGAGUCUUUAUAUCUCACUUUUU
rnacentral:lncRNA from 1 species